UAGAGCACUUGUGGUUUCUUUUUAUAUUGAGUCACUCUUAGACCACUUUCUUCUGUCUCCCCUUCUUCUUCUUCUUUCCCUCCUUAGUCCUUUCACUCACGGAGAGAACAAGAUAGAAAAUUAAAGAAGGAGAAACAAUUGAUCUAGACCACAAAUUAGGGUAUAUUUUCUAAAAUCAAACUUAUAUAUAUAUUGAAUAUUUUCUUUUUCUUUUUUCAUUCAAUGGCUCCUUAUAUCUUUUUUGCAAGAGUGCUCUUUCCGCAACCUUUAGUAUUCGUCUAAAAAAAUUCUUUGGUCUUCCCAGCAAGUGAAGGAGGCGUC
rnacentral:lncRNA from 1 species